AGAGUGAGAAUAUUGAGGUAAACCAUCCAUAUGGAUCUUUCUCAGCACAAGUAUUUUUCUCUUGGACAGACACAUUAUUUUGAAUGUUCCUUAGAAAAAGAACAAUACAGGUUUAUUACAUGAGAAAUAAAACAAUGUCUUUCCCAUCUACAGAAAGAAACCACAGGCUCCCAUCCAGCAGUUCUCCUCCAUAGCAUGAAUUUAAAACAGUUGAGCCUAAAUUGAAAUUUAAAUGCUGAAACAAUCUG